GAUCUACUCCCUCCGUCCGAAAAUACUUGUCACCAAAAUGGAUAAAAAGGGAUGUAUCUAGAAUUAAAAUAUGUCUAGAUACAUCCCCUUUUAUUCAUUUUGAUGACAAGUAUUUCCGGACGGAGGGAGUAUAUC
rnacentral:pre_miRNA from 1 species